rnacentral:lncRNA from 1 species
AACAUCGCCGUGUGACAUCAAAUUUUACCCGAAAACCCUAAUUCCUAACUGCACACGGCUGUGUGAUUUAGGAAACGCCUGUGUGGCCACUUGUGUGGUCAUGAAACCACCCUAAAACAACCCCGAAAAAUGUGCUUUCACCCUCGUAGCACUUUCCAGCCCUUGAUAACUUGAUUUUAUACCAAAUCAAACAAAUUCUAAGCACAAAACAGCGGUACAAAGUCAUAAAC